rnacentral:rRNA from 1 species
UUUGGUGGCUCAACGGUGAGGUCACACCUGAUCUCUUCCCGAACUCAGAAGUUAAGCUCACUAGUGGCGAUGGUAGUCUCUGUCACAGGAGGCGAGAGUAGCUAGCCGCCAGAA